UACGGGGGGGGCAAGCGUUGUUCGGAAUUACUGGGCGUAAAGGGCCAGUAGGCGGCCAACUAAGUCGGACGUGAAAUCCCCAGGCUCAACUUAGGAACUGCAUCCGAUACUGGAUGGCUUGAAUUCGGGAGAGGGAUGCAGAAUUCCAGGUGUAGCGGUGAAAUGCGUAGAUAUCUGGAGGAACACCGGUGGCGAAGGCGGCGUCCUGGACCAACACUGACGCUCAUGUGCGAAAGCGUGGGGAGCAAACAGG
rnacentral:rRNA from 1 species